CAGCCGCCGCGGUAAUACGAAGGGUGCAAGCGUUAAUCGGAAUUACUGGGCGUAAAGCGUGCGUAGGCGGUUUGUUAAGUCUGUUGUGAAAUCCCCGGGCUCAACCUGGGAAUGGCAAUGGAUACUGGCAAGCUAGAGUGUGUCAGAGGAUGGUGGAAUUCCCGGUGUAGCGGUGAAAUGCGUAGAGAUCGGGAGGAACAUCAGUGGCGAAGGCGGCCAUCUGGGACAACACUGACGCUGAGGCACGAAAGCGUGGGGAGCAAACAGGAUUAGAUACCCCAGUAGUCCCUGUCUCUUAUAC
rnacentral:rRNA from 1 species